CCUACGGGAGGCAGCAGUGAGGAAUAUUGGUCAAUGGACGAGAGUCUGAACCAGCCAAGUAGCGUGAAGGAUGACUGCCCUAUGGGUUGUAAACUUCUUUUAUAUGGGAAUAAAAUGUUCCACGUGUGGGAUUUUGUAUGUACCAUAUGAAUAAGGAUCGGCUAACUCCGUGCCAGCAGCCGCGGUAAUACGGAGGAUCCGAGCGUUAUCCGGAUUUAUUGGGUUUAAAGGGAGCGUAGGUGGAUUGUUAAGUCAGUUGUGAAAGUUUGCGGCUCAACCGUAAAAUUGCAGUUGAAACUGGCAGUCUGGAGUACAGUAGAGGUAGGCGGAAUUCGUGGUGUAGCGGUGAAAUGCUUAGAUAUCACGAAGAACUCCGAUUGCGAAGGCAGCUCACUGGACUGCAACUGACACUGAGGCUCGAAAGUGUGGGUAUCAAACAGGAUUAGAUACCCGAGUAGUC
rnacentral:rRNA from 1 species